UUACGGUUCAGUAACACGUGGCCCAGCUACCCCGGGACGGGAAUACUCUCGGGAACUGAGGCUAAUCCCCGAUAGCUUUUCUCCUGAAGGGGCAAAGCCGGAAACGCUCCGGCGCCACAGGAUGCGGCUGCGGUCGAUUAGGUAGACGGUGGGGUAACGGCCCACCGUGCCCAUAAUCGGUACGGGUUGUAAGAGCAAGAGCCCGGAGACGGAAUCUGAGACAAGAUUCCGGGCCCUACGGGGCGCAGCAGGCGCGAAACCUUACACUGUACGAAAGUGCGAUAAGGGGACUCCGAGUGUGAAGGCAUAGAGCCUUCACUUUUGUACACCGUAAGGUGGUGCACGAAUAAGGACUGGGCAAGACCGGUGCCAGCCGCCGCGGUAAUACCGGCAGUCCGAGUGAUGGCCGAUCUUAUUGGGCCUAAAGCGUCCGUAGCUGGCUGAACAAGUCCGUUGGGAAAUCUGUCCGCUUAACGGGCAGGCGUCCAGCGGAAACUGUUCAGCUUGGG
rnacentral:rRNA from 1 species